UCUCCGUUGGUGAACCAGCGGAGGGAUCACUACCGAGUUUACAACUCCCAAACCCCAUGUGAACCUUACCAAACGUUGCUUCGGCGGGAUGCCCCGGGCGCGGGCCGCAAGGCCUCAGCCCCGGAACCAGGCGCCCGCCGGAGGCCCAAACCAAACUCUUGUUUUUGUAGAAUCUUCUGAGUGGCCUUUUAGGCAAAAAAUGAAUCAAAACUUUCAACAACGGAUCUCUUGGUUCUG
rnacentral:misc_RNA from 1 species